rnacentral:rRNA from 1 species
AAAUUGAAGAGUUUGAUCAUGGCUCAGAUUGAACGCUGGCGGCAGGCCUAACACAUGCAAGUCGAGCGGAAACGAGUUAUCUGAACCUUCGGGGAACGAUAACGGCGUCGAGCGGCGGACGGGUGAGUAAUGCCUAGGAAAUUGCCCUGAUGUGGGGGAUAACCAUUGGAAACGAUGGCUAAUACCGCAUGAUGCCUACGGGCCAAAGAGGGGGACCUUCGGGCCUCUCGCGUCAGGAUAUGCCUAGGUGGGAUUAGCUAGUUGGUGAGGUAAGGGCUCACCAAGGCGACGAUCCCUAGCUGGUCUGAGAGGAUGAUCAGCCACACUGGAACUGAGACACGGUCCAGACUCCUACGGGAGGCAGCAGUGGGGAAUAUUGCACAAUGGGCGCAAGCCUGAUGCAGCCAUGCCGCGUGUGUGAAGAAGGCCUUCGGGUUGUAAAGCACUUUCAGUCGUGAGGAAGGUAGUGUAGUUAAUAGCUGCAUUACUUGACGUUAGCGACAGAAGAAGCACCGGCUAACUCCGUGCCAGCAGCCGCGGUAAUACGGAGGGUGCGAGCGUUAAUCGGAAUUACUGGGCGUAAAGCGCAUGCAGGUGGUUUGUUAAGUCAGAUGUGAAAGCCCGGGGCUCAACCUCGGAAUUGCAUUUGAAACUGGCAGACUAGAGUACUGUAGAGGGGGGUAGAAUUUCAGGUGUAGCGGUGAAAUGCGUAGAGAUCUGAAGGAAUACCGGUGGCGAAGGCGGCCCCCUGGACAGAUACUGACACUCAGAUGCGAAAGCGUGGGGAGCAAACAGGAUUAGAUACCCUGGUAGUCCACGCCGUAAACGAUGUCUACUUGGAGGUUGUGGCCUUGAGCCGUGGCUUUCGGAGCUAACGCGUUAAGUAGACCGCCUGGGGAGUACGGUCGCAAGAUUAAAACUCAAAUGAAUUGACGGGGGCCCGCACAAGCGGUGGAGCAUGUGGUUUAAUUCGAUGCAACGCGAAGAACCUUACCUACUCUUGACAUCCAGAGAACUUUCCAGAGAUGGAUUGGUGCCUUCGGGAACUCUGAGACAGGUGCUGCAUGGCUGUCGUCAGCUCGUGUUGUGAAAUGUUGGG